UACGUAGGGGGCAAGCGUUGUCCGGAUUUAUUGGGCGUAAAGAGCGUGUAGGCGGCUUGGUAGGUCCGCUGUGAAAACUCGAGGCUCAACCUCGAGAUGUCGGCGGAAACCACUUGGCUAGAGUCCGGAAGAGGAGAGUGGAAUUCCUGGUGUAGCGGUGAAAUGCGCAGAUAUCGGGAAGAACACCCGUGGCGAAGGCGGUUCUCUGGGACGGUACUGACGCUGAUACGCGAAAGCGUGGGGAGCGAACAGG
rnacentral:rRNA from 1 species